rnacentral:rRNA from 1 species
AUUGAACGCUGGCGGCAGGCCUAACACAUGCAAGUCGAGCGGAUGAAGGGAGCUUGCUCCUGGAUUCAGCGGCGGACGGGUGAGUAAUGCCUAGGAAUCUGCCUGGUAGUGGGGGAUAACGUCCGGAAACGGGCGCUAAUACCGCAUACGUCCUGAGGGAGAAAGUGGGGGAUCUUCGGACCUCACGCUAUCAGAUGAGCCUAGGUCGGAUUAGCUAGUUGGUGGGGUAAAGGCCUACCAAGGCGACGAUCCGUAACUGGUCUGAGAGGAUGAUCAGUCACACUGGAACUGAAACACGGUCCAGACUCCGACGGGAGGCAGCAGUGCGGAAUAUUGGACAAAGGGCGAAAGCCUGAUCCAGCCAUGCCGCGUGGGUGAAGAAGGUCUUCGGAUUGUAAAGCACCUUAAGUGGGGAGGAAGGGCAGUAAGUUAAUCCCUUGCUGUUUUGACGUUACCAACAGAAUAAGCACCGGCUAACUUCGUG